GGACCAAAUACUAUAAAACUAGAGCCACACAUCUUGCAAUCUGACGUGUAAGGCACCAAGCUUAAUUCUUCAUAUUUUGGUGGUGCAUUCAGUUAGCUCCGGUUGUUCGUCCACCUGUUGCAGCGCCGUUUGUUCUAUCUGUUGCAACGCCAGUUGUUACUCCAUCUGUUGCUGCGCCGGUUGCUUCCUUGAGUUCGGCUCCGAUUUCCAUCGAGAGCCUGACUGCCGAAGUUAAACAGAAAGCUACUCUAGAGUCGGCUCCGUCGUCUCAGAAGGCGGUUAGGUUCCCUAACCGACCUGGUUACGGUCAAUUGGGAAGGAAAAUUCAAGUUCGUGCUAAUCAUUUUCAGUUGCGAGUGGCUGAUAAGGAUCUACACCACUAUGAUGAUCGGGACUUUUCAAAUUCCCACUCAUAUGAGAGUCAAUCGGGUUAAACUUGACUAAAGCACGCUUCAUAUAUAUGAAUGUACUAGUACUCAUUAACUGUACUCAUACAGUAUCCUACAAGAUAUUUUACAACAUGUUUAAAUGAUAACAGCUGUGUUAACAAAAGGGCAACAAUUUCUACACCUCUUGGUAAAAACAUUGGAUGAAUAAUCAAAACAAACCCUAAAUUAGGUGUAUUUUUCCAUUAGGGUUUCAUGAUCAUGAGAGUAAUGUGAGGGUUUCAUGAUCAUGAGAGUAGUGUGAGUGGAAUGUAAGAACAAAAAACAGUAAAAGUAAAGAAAGUGUAAUUACCGGGAAUAUGAAAAGGAGGAGGUAGGUGAACAAGGGUUGGGUUUGGUUCAGUGAUGUUGAGUUCAAAGAUCGGGGGCCGACGUUAUCAAAAUGUUGACUCAUCCUCACCUACCCGUGUUUAACAAUAUGUAACUUUAAUCUUAUGUAAUGUGAUCGAUGUAAUCUUCAUCCGAUUAAAUAAAGCGAAUCGUUCUUGUUUGUUAUUUUUCUU